UUUAUUAUUAUUUCAAUAAACUACUUAGACAUCCACAUACCGAGCACAUAGAUUACAUAUCUUCCCUACAAGUGUAAAUAAUAUGUGUCUAUGCAUAAAAUGACGUGUUAUUUAUUAUUUAUAUGGUAAAUGUUGAUGCCCAAAUCUGAUCUAGUCUGUUAGCGACUUAAUAUCAGACUUCUACACCAGCAUUAGAUUUAUUUGGUAGAGAAUCGAUUGGUCAAUCGUCAAGAUGUCCUGCAACCACUAGCGAUUAACCUGCGAAUACCUGAAAUCAUAGAAGACGGUCAGAGGCGCCGGAAGUUUUUCCGGCGUGAACCCUCCG
rnacentral:lncRNA from 1 species